AUCAGAGUAUUGAUUAGGAAUGUGUCAGUGCUCAACAUCACUGUGGGACAUGUUUAAACAAAAUUAUAAUUUUUAUUAUUUAUAUUUAUUUACUUAUUUUAUAUUCUUCAUACUCUACAAUAAAGAUUUGUUUAUUAUCAUUGUUUAUUUUUUGUCAUGUUUUAUUGGAGAGGUUUUUCUUUGGAAUUUUUUUAUUUCAAUGUUUCAAUGAAAGAUGAAUCAACAAGGCUUAUUUUACAAAAAAAAGAUUAAAUACAUAUUCAUAGUUUAUUUUUUGGACACUUUAACCAGUUAUUAGAUAAACUAGGUAAACUGGGAAUGUGUUUGCUGAGUUUGUUUGUGUCAAAGUCAGAGAGCCGUGUCUCUCUACAGUGAGAGGUUUUUGUACGGCGGCUCAAUGAGUUUGUAUCACUGUGGUGGACUUUUGGUGGAGGAACCAGACUGGAAGUUAACUUGGGUCGAGUCGUCCCCACCCUGACGGUGCUGCCCCCCUCCAGUGAGGAGCUGCAGCAGGGGAAGGCCACGCUCAUGUGUCUGGCCAACAAGGGCUUCCCCUCAGACUGGAGUUUGUCCUGGAAGGUGGAUGGCAGCAGCAGCAGCAGCAGCUGGGAGGAGAGCAGGAGCCCCGGGGUGCUGAAGGACGGCCACUACAGCUGGAGCAGCACCCUGAGGCUCUCUGCAGACCACUGGAGGAAGGUGGGCUCUGUGACCUGUGAGGCCACCCAGGGCUCCCAGACUCCGCUCUCAGAGACACUGAGGAGAGACCAGUGUUCCCAGUCCUGACCUGACUCACUGGGACUCUGAUACUAGUUUCACUCUUCUACUGCUCUCAGUCUGCACUCUGCAAUACCGUUGCACUCUCUCACACUCUUUCUCUCUGUGUCUCUCUGUGUCUCUCUCUCUCUCUCUCUCUCUCUCUCUCCUCAAUGGUUUCAAGAUUCAAAAAUAAUAAAGAUUUAAUAAAAUCAA